UGAGUAAUGUCUGGGAAACUGCCUGAUGGAGGGGGAUAACUACUGGAAACGGUAGCUAAUACCGCAUAACGUCGCAAGACCAAAGAGGGGGACCUUCGGGCCUCUUGCCAUCAGAUGUGCCCAGAUGGGAUUAGCUUGUUGGUGGGGUAACGGCUCACCAAGGCGACGAUCCCUAGCUGGUCUGAGAGGAUGACCAGCCACACUGGAACUGAGACACGGUCCAGACUCCUACGGGAGGCAGCAGUGGGGAAUAUUGCACAAUGGGCGCAAGCC
rnacentral:rRNA from 1 species